rnacentral:rRNA from 1 species
AGAGUUUGAUCCUGGCUCAGGAUGAACGCUAGCUACAGGCUUAACACAUGCAAGUCGAGGGGCAGCAUGACAUAGCAAUAGGUUGAUGGCGACCGGCGCACGGGUGAGUAACACGUAUCCAACCUGCCGAUUAUUCCGGGAUAGCCUUUCGAAAGAAAGAUUAAUACUGGAUAGCAUAACGAGAAGGCAUCUUCUUGUUAUUAAAGAAUUUCGAUAAUCGAUGGGGAUGCGUUCCAUUAGUUUGUUGGCGGGGUAACGGCCCACCAAGACAUCGAUGGAUAGGGGUUCUGAGAGGAAGGUCCCCCACAUUGGAACUGAGACACGGUCCAAACUCCUACGGGAGGCAGCAGUGAGGAAUAUUGGUCAAUGGACGAGAGUCUGAACCAGCCAAGUAGCGUGAAGGAUGACUGCCCUAUGGGUUGUAAACUUCUUUUAUAUGGGAAUAAAGUGAGCCACGUGUGGCUUUUUGUAUGUACCAUACGAAUAAGGAUCGGCUAACUCCGUGCCAGCAGCCGCGGUAAUACGGAGGAUCCGAGCGUUAUCCGGAUUUAUUGGGUUUAAAGGGAGCGUAGGCGGAUUAUUAAGUCAGUUGUGAAAGUCUGCGGCUCAACUGUAAAAUUGCAGUUGAUACUGGUAGUCUUAAGUGCAGCAGAGGUAGGCGGAAUUCGUGGUGUAGCGGUGAAAUGCUUAGAUAUCACGAAGAACUCCGAUUGCGAAGGCAGCUUACUGGACUGUAACUGACGCUGAUGCUCGAAAGUGUGGGUAUCAAACAGGAUUAGAUACCCUGGUAGUCCACACAGUAAACGAUGAAUACUCGCUGUUUGCGAUAUACAGCAAGCGGCCAAGCGAAAGCAUUAAGUAUUCCACCUGGGGAGUACGCCGGCAACGGUGAAACUCAAAGGAAUUGACGGGGGCCCGCACAAGCGGAGGAACAUGUGGUUUAAUUCGAUGAUACGCGAGGAACCUUACCCGGGCUUAAAUUGCAACUGACGGAUUUGGAAGCAGAUCUUCCUUCGGGCAGUUGUGAAGGUGCUGCAUGGUUGUCGUCAGCUCGUGCCGUGAGGUGUCGGCUUAAGUGCCAUAACGAGCGCAACCCUUAUCUUUAGUUACUAACAGGUCAUGCUGAGGACUCUAGAGAGACUGCCGUCGUAAGAUGUGAGGAAGGUGGGGAUGACGUCAAAUCAGCACGGCCCUUACGUCCGGGGCUACACACGUGUUACAAUGGGGGGUACAGAAGGCAGCUACACAGCGAUGUGAUGCUAAUCCCAAAAGCCUCUCUCAGUUCGGAUUGGAGUCUGCAACCCGACUCCAUGAAGCUGGAUUCGCUAGUAAUCGCGCAUCAGCCACGGCGCGGUGAAUACGUUCCCGGGCCUUGUACACACCGCCCGUCAAGCCAUGAAAGCCGGGGGUACCUGAAGUACGUAACCGCAAGGAGCGUCCUAGGGUAAAACUGGUAAUUGGGGCUAAGUCGUAACAAGGUA